GGUGAAACAAGUGCUUUGGAGCAGAGAGUGAGAAAGGAGAGUUUGAAAGGAGUUUUACAUUAUACAUUCAUUGAUGCACAGCAGUGGGGCUGAGGAGACAUCACUUCGAUUUGUGCACAGCUGCAGUAUUCCAAACCCCGUGCCUGAGGACAGCGCGAGCCUUGCAAUGGAACCGAAUAAUGUGCGGAGUGAGGGCCACAUGGGAAUCCAGUCAUACCGCCCGCGCCUGGCCCCAGCACUGUCUGGCUCUUCUCUCUGUGAAUAUAAGUCAAUGGGGCUGGAGAUUGAGCAGAAGACAUUUUCAGACCAACCAUAAUGUAAAAACAUUGCCCCAUUCACUUGAUUCCUGUAUGACCACAUUCCAAUUCUCAGAA